rnacentral:rRNA from 1 species
AAAUUGAAGAGUUUGAUCAUGGCUCAGAUUGAACGCUGGCGGCAGGCCUAACACAUGCAAGUCGAGCGGAAACGAGUUAUCAGAACCUUCGGGGGACAAUAACGGCGUCGAGCGGCGGACGGGUGAGUAAUGCCUAGGAAAUUGCCCUGAUGUGGGGGAUAACCAUUGGAAACGAUGGCUAAUACCGCAUGAUGCCUACGGGCCAAAGAGGGGGACCUUCGG